AUGUUUCACUCCUUUUCAGCUCGGUUUCGCUCAUUUUUGGGUCAUUUUCUCUUGGUUUUGGGUUGUCUUCGCUUGAUUUUGGGUCAGUUUCACUCAGUUUUGGGUCAUUUUCACUCCAUUUUGGGUCAUUUUCACUCCAUUUUGGGCCAUUUUGGGUCAUUUUCACUCCAUUUUGGGUCAUUGUCACUCCACCUUGGGCGAGUUUUACUCAUUUUUGGGCCAUUUUGGGUCAUUUUCACUCCAUUUUGGGUCAUUUCCACUCCAUUUUGGGCCAUUUUGGGCCAUUUUCACUGGGUUUUGUGCCAUUUUCGCUCAAUUUUGUGCCAUUUUCACUCCAUUUUGUGCCAUUUUUACUCCGUUUUGGGCCAUUUUCACUGGGUUUUGUGCCAUUUUUUGCUGGGUUUUGGGCCAUUUUCACUGGGUUUUGUGCCAUUUUCACUCCAUUUGGGGCCAUUUUCACUCCAUUUUGGGCCAGUUUUACUCCAUUUUGGGCCAUUUUGGGCCAUUUUCACCCUAUUUUGGGUAAUUUUCACUCCAUUUUGUGUUGGUUUCACUCAAUUUUGGGUCAUUUUCACUCCAUUUUGGGUCAUUUCCACUCCAUUUUGGUCCAUUUUGGGUCAUUUUCACUCCAUUUUGGGUCAUUUUCACUCAAUUUUGGGUCAUUUUCACUCCAUUUUGGGUCAUUUUCACUCAAUUUUGGGCCAUUUUCACUCCAUUUUGGGUCAUUUUCACUCAAUUUUGGGCCAUUUUCACUCCAUUUUGGGCCAUUUUCACUGGGUUUUGGGCCAUUUCCACUGGGUUUUGGGCCAUUUCACUCCAUUUUGGGUCAUUUUCACUCCAUUUUGGGCCAUUUUCACUGGGUUUUGUGCCAUUUUCGCUCAAUUUUGUGCCAUUUUCACUCCAUUUUGGGCCAUUUUCACCCUAUUUUGGGCCAUUUUCACUCCAUGUUGGGCUAAUUUUACUCCAUUUUGGGGUUUUUUGGGUCAUUUUCACUCCAUUUUGGGCCAUUUUCACUCCAUUUUCACUCCAUUUUCACUCUGUUUUGGGCCAUUUUCACUGGGUUUUGUGCCAUUUUCAUUCCAUUUUGGGCCAUUUUCACUCCAUUUUGGGCCAUUUUGGGUCAUUUUCACUGGGUUUUGGGCCAUUUUCACUCCAUGUUGGGCUAAUUUUACUCCAUUUUGGGGUUUUUGGGGCCAUUUUCACUCAAUUUUGGGCCAUUUUCACUCCAUUUUGUGCAAUUUUCACUGGGUUUUGUGCCAUUUUCACUCCAUUUUGUGCCAUUUUUACUCCGUUUUGGGCCAUUUUCACUCCAUUUUAGGCCAUUUUCACUCCAUUUUGGGCCAUUUUGGGUCAUUUUCACUGGGUUUUUGGCCAUUUUCACUCCAUUUUGUGCCAUUUUCACUCCAUUUUGUGCCAUUUUCACUCCAUUUUGUGCCAUUUUCACUCCGUUUUGUGCCAUUUUCACUCCGCUUUGGGUCAUUUUCACUCCAUUUUGGGCCAUUUUCACUCCAUUUUGGGCCAUUUUCACUCCAUUUUGGGCCAUUUUCACUCCAUUUUGGGCCAUUUUCACUCCAUUUUGGGUCAUUUUCACUGGGUUUUGGGCCAUUUUCACUGGGUUUUGGGCCAUUUUCACUGGGUUUUGGGUCAUUAUCACUCUGUUUUGGGUCAUUUCCACUCCAUUUUGGGCCAUUUUUACUCCGUUUUGGGCCAUUUUCACUCCAUUUUGGGCCAUUUUGGGUCAUUUUCACUGGGUUUUGGGCCAUUUUCACUGGGUUUUGUGCCAUUCUCACUCCAUUUUGUGCCAUUUUUACUCCGUUUUGGGCCAUUUUCACUGGUUUUUGGGCCAUUUUCACUCCAUUUUGGGCCAUUUUCACUCAAUUUUGGGCCAUUUUCACUCCAUUUUGUGCCAUUUUUACUCCGUUUUGGGCCAUUUUCACUCCAUUUUGGGCCAUUUUCACUCCAUUUUGGGCCAUUUUGGGUCAUUUUCACUGGGUUUUGGGCCAUUUUCACUCCAUUUUGUGCCAUUUUCACUCCAUUUUGGGCCAUUUUCACUCCAUUUUGGGCAAUUUUCACUGGGUUUUGGGCCAUUUUCACUGGGUUUUGGGUCAUUUUCACUGGGUUUUGUUCCAUUUUCACUGGGUUUUGGGCCAUUUUCCCCAUUUUCCCCCGUUUUCACUCCCUUUUCCCCUUCUCCCCCCUCCACCUGCGCAGGUUGAGCCCCAGCAGCGCCAGGUUAACCCCGUAGGUGCCGAGGCAGACCAGGCACAGGUCCCUGAGGCCGAAGAGCAGGACCCCCGCCAGCCACAGCGAGGCCAGCGCCGAGGCCACCGACGAGGCCACCAGGGCCACCGAGGCCACCCGGCCGCGCCGGACACCUGCCACAGAGGUCACACCAGUUUGGCCCAGUUUGGUCCCAGUCUGGUCCAGUUUGGCCCCAGUUUGUCCCCAGUUUGGCCUCAGUUUCCCCAGUUUGUCCCAGUUUGUCCCUGUGUCCUCCUCACCUUCCCAGUUUGUACCCAAGACAUUCCCAAUGUCCCCAGUUUGUCCCAGUAUCCCCAGUUUGUCCCAGUAUCCCCAGUUUGUCCCAGUGUCCUCCUCAGUGUUCCCAGUUUGGUCCCAGUUCCUCCCCAGUUCGUCCCAGUUUCUCCCAGUGUCCUCCUCACCUUCCUCCACAGUUUGUCCCAGUUUCUCCCAGUUUCUCUCCCAGUUUCCCCAGUUUGUCCCCAGUUUCCCCAGUUUGUCCCCAGUUUCUCCCCAGUUUGGCCCAGUUUGCCCCAGUUUGGCCCAGCCACAGCGAGGCCAGCGCCGAGGCCACCGACGAGGCCACCAGGGCCACCGAGGCCACCCGGCCGCGCCGGACACCUGCCAGAGAGGUCACACCAGUUUGGCCCAGUUUGGCCCCAGUCUGUCCCAGUUUGGCCUCAGUUUCCCCAGUUUGUUCCCAGUUUGUCCCAGUGUCCUCCUCAGUGUUCCCAGUUUGGUCCCAGUUUCUGCCCAGUUUGUUCCCAGUUUGUCCCCAGUCCCCCCCAACCCCCUCCCAGUCCCUCCCAGUCCCUCCCAGUCCAUCCCAGUGCCCUUUAA
rnacentral:lncRNA from 1 species